GUCUAGUGGCCUAGGACACCUCUCUUUCAAGGAGGCGACGGGGAUUCGAAUUCCCCUGGGGGUAUUAUUAAAA
rnacentral:tRNA from 1 species